UACGGAGGGAGCUAGCGUUGUUCGGGAUUACUGGGCGUAAAGCGCGCGUAGGCGGCUUUGUAAGUUAGAGGUGAAAGCCCGGAGCUCAACUCCGGAACUGCCUUUAAAACUGCAUCGCUUGAAUCCAGGAGAGGUGAGUGGAAUUUCCGGUGUAGCGGUGAAAUGCGUAGAUAUCGGAAGGAACACCUGUGGCGAAAGCGGCUCACUGGACCAUAACUGACGCUGAGGCACGAAAGCUAGGGGAGCAAACAGG
rnacentral:rRNA from 1 species